rnacentral:rRNA from 1 species
AACAGGAUUAGAUACCCUGGUAGUCCACGCCGUAAACGAUGUCGACUUGGAGGUUGUUCCCUUGAGGAGUGGCUUCCGGAGCUAACGCGUUAAGUCGACCGCCUGGGGAGUACGGCCGCAAGGUUAAAACUCAAAUGAAUUGACGGGGGCCCGCACAAGCGGUGGAGCAUGUGGUUUAAUUCGAUGCAACGCGAAGAACCUUACCUACUCUUGACAUCCAGAGAACUUAGCAGAGAUGCUUUGGUGCCUUCGGGAACUCUGAGACAGGUGCUGCAUGGCUGUCGUCAGCUCGUGUUGUGAAAUGUUGGGUUAAGUCCCGCAACGAGCGCAACCCUUAUCCUUUGUUGCCAGCGAUUCGGUCGGGAACUCAAAGGAGACUGCCGGUGAUAAACCGGAGGAAGGUGGGGAUGACGUCAAGUCAUCAUGGCCCUUACGAGUAGGGCUACACACGUGCUACAAUGGCGCAUACAAAGAGAAGCGACCUCGCGAGAGCAAGCGGACCUCAUAAAGUGCGUCGUAGUCCGGAUCGGAGUCUGCAACUCGACUCCGUGAAGUCGGAAUCGCUAGUAAUCGUGGAUCAGAAUGCCACGGUGAAUACGUUCCCGGGGCCUUGUACACACCGCCCGUCACACCAUGGGAGUGGGUUGCAAAAGAAGUAGGUAGCUUAACCUUCGGGAGGGCGCUUACCACUUUGUGAUUCAUGACUGGGGUGAAGUC